rnacentral:tmRNA from 2 species
GGGGACGACAUGGUUUCGACGGGGAUUUAGAUCAUUGUUGGGCGUGGCGGAGAGUCUGUCUCCUUAAUCAGGCAAACAAUAGUCGCAGAACACGACGAAUACUUACUCGCUGCUUAAUUAAAUAGCAGCGGCGCCUGUGCCGGCGGCGUCCGGGGUGGCGGCACAGGUGACUCACAAAUCCGGGCAUCGGCUGUGGUUUGGAUACCAUACCUCUUCCGAUUAUCAUAAGGUAUCUUUGGUAAGAUUGGCCGGCCGGUGAGCCUGUCUUAUCUGAAAUCAAUCACUGGCUAGGUUACGUAGAACAACCUUGUGACAGAUCUUCGGACGCGGGUUCGAUUCCCGCCGUCUCCAUAC